UACAGAGGGUGCAAGCGUUGUCCGGAUUUAUUGGGCGUAAAGAGCUCGUAGGUGGUUCGGUAAGUCGGAUGUGAAAUCUCCAGGCUCAACCUGGAGGGGUCAUUCGAUACUGCCGUGACUAGAGGUCGGUAGGGGAGUGUGGAAUUCCUGGUGGAGCGGUGAAAUGCGCAGAUAUCAGGAGGAACACCCGUAGCGAAGGCGGCACUCUGGGCCGAUACUGACACUGAGGAGCGAAAGCGUGGGGAGCGAACAGG
rnacentral:rRNA from 1 species